rnacentral:rRNA from 1 species
AACCCGCCCACAUGAAGCGGAGUUGCUAGUAAUCGCGGAUCAGCAUGCCGCGGUGAAUACGUUCCCGGGCCUUGUACACACCGCCCGUCACACCAUGGGAGGUUGGGAGUGCCCAAAGCCGGUGAGGCAACCGAAAGGAGCCAGCCGUCUAAGGCAAGACCAAUGACUGGGGUGAAGUCGUAACAAGGUAUC